GCAUUUAGCUUCUAGGGUUCCGGCUUGUAGAGCGUUGAUUUUAACGUUCUGCGUAAGCGACUGGUUCAAGAGAGGCAAGCUGGUUUCAGAGCAUUUCACCACUGAGAUCUCUGCCAGUUCCACGGAGGGAUAAAAGCCCGGGAGAC
rnacentral:sRNA from 2 species